rnacentral:tRNA from 1 species
UCCCUGGUGGUCCAGUGGCUGGGACUCUGCACUCCCAGUACAGAGGACCCGGGUUCCAUUCCUGGUAGGGGAA